CAAAAAUAAGUGAGUCACUAUCUUAGAUGUUAAUAUGUAGUGUUUUUAUUGACUAUAUGUUUUUAGAUUAUAUUACACAGUGCACAUUGCUGCAGUUUUUAUUCUUUACAACACAAACAGAACAUUGGUGCAGACUGAACCGAAAGUUUGCAUCAUCAGCUCUUCCGGUUCCCCCCGGCCUGAACCGGUUCUGCAACCGUGUUCUCCACCAUGGAAUAUCUCACUCCUCCCAUUCACUGAUGUCACUGACGUUCCUCACAACUCAUCAGAAAUUCUGAUUUUCCAGGACCCAGGGGCUUUCUGUGUGACCCAAAAACAGGCCAGGAGAAGACCACAGAGAGAACCGCCUCACGCUGCCAUCAAACGUCAGCAUUUCACCGCCACUUUCGAAUUACUACUCUACAGGAGAAUAAAGCCCAGGAUGUAGGAUGUUGGCUCAUGAGUGGCAUGAUGAAAGUGAUGAUACCAAGGUGACUUACACAAAAAACACUGCAUCAAACAGCCCGAAUACACCAAAUAUGGCAGAAAUACGGCCACACGCUUUGAUUUAUGGAAAGAACCCUGAGGCAGGUCCUGCAGAAUAAGAUAUUAUAUAAUAAUAAUGUGUUUAUUGGGUUAUAUACACUCAUCACUGAGAUAAAGGACAUGACAAUACCGGGUUUUUGGUUAUUUCAUCAAGCUCUUUUUUCCUGUGGGGCAGAAUGAUUAUACAUCUUACAUUAUACAUCUCUAUUACACAAUAUAUAGUACAAGUUAAGAGUUUUGCACACACUCUUAUUCAAUAUAUAUAUUUUUUCUCCAUAGCAAAUGAAUAAUUGACUUCAGAUUAUGAAGAAACGCAUAAGGAAUCAUGUAGUAACAUGUUAAAAGUGUUAAACAAACCGAAAAAAUACUCUUAUCUGAUGAGCUGGUAAUAUUGGAUCUCUCCCUCUUCCUUUCCUAAUUAGUACCGGUUUCAUCAUUAUAAUGUUUUUGACUGCACUUAAGGAUACUUUCAAAGUUCUUGAAAUUCUUUUUCUCCAUUUAAAGUAUUUUUUUUCUUUACUUAGUUGAGUAGUUCUUGCAAUGAUAAGUAAUAAUGUGUGAUGCUGUGAUGCUCCCACCACCAUGUUUAACAGUUUGUUCAGUGUUCACUGGGUUGAAAGUCUCACUUUUACUUCUCCAAACAAAGCUCGGGUCAUGUCUACAUAUAUGUCCAGAAUAAUUUACCCAAAUGUACUGACCGCAAUAGGCGAAAUGCAAAAAUAGAAAAUUGGAUGUAAAAACUCAUUAUUUCAUUUUUUAUCAUCCGCUUUUUAUCUUUUUUCAUCCAUUUUUCUUUUUUUUAUUUCUGCCCAUCACAAAUGGAAUUUCAGGAAAAUGAAAAAUUAAUGUUUUCUUUAUUUUUAGAUUUUUGCAUUUUUUCAUUU